GAAAAGUUAAAAUAAAAUAAAUAAUAAACUAGCGGAAGAACAAGAAUCAGUAAAUUAAGAAAGAUACAAAAUAAUAUCCCUUUUACCCAUGAUCUCCUCAACCGCCCCACGAUUUCUCCUCCUAACUCCCAUUUUUCCACUUCCUCAUGUUAGUGACUUUCCCACUUUCUUAUAUUAGUGACUUCCCCAGUUCCUCAUGUUAGUGGUCAUGUCCCAAUCCCCACUUCCUCAUGUUAGUGCUCACUCCCUCACGCCUCACAUCAUGCGCACACACACACAAUCACUGGCACACACAUACGAUCACAUAUAUUUUUGUUAACCAUCUGCACAUCUGGAUCGGGAACUCCUACAUAUGCAAAGAUACAGAGCAAAAAGCCAUAGGCCGGUUUACAAAGAGAUACACGGAUAGAGGACUGAAAAUUCCCAAACGUUCUGCUUUCUUCUUCUCCAUUUUUUCAUGAAGACAUCACGAAACAAAUGACCCCUCCCUAUUCUGAACGUGGCUCUUCUUCUGGACAGAAGAGGCUACCCAUCUCCUUUGAUUCCCAUAUAAAAGAAAACACACUCGCACACGCAUAGAUACAACAAGAAGUUUGCGGUGCCAUUGGAGGUUCUGUUUGUGUCGACCAAUUUUCGGCUGUGAUUCCGGCAGAAGUCCGCGGUUCCUGUUGCUCUGUUGCUUGUUCCACGUUUGCUGAAAGAAUCUGUCAAAGCUUAGUUGUAAUCAAAUUCAUAUAUUGAAAGAAAUUUGCUCAUGAGGGCAUGGAUAGCAAAACUUGGUUAAAGACCGCUAUUUUCCUAUAUUUAAUUGCCAUUUCAACUAGUAGAGGUAAUCAUGAUUUUCAUAUUAUUGUAAUGAUGAAUGACUACUUUGACUAGAUUUGUUUAGUUUCAUAGGUGCUAAGUGUAGCAUGUUUUUCAAUUGGCUAUUUUUCCAUGCUUAAUUAUUUUUUUUAAAUUAAAAAAAGUGGUAGAGGUAAAUCAUUAUUUGUGAUAACUUUGAGUCAAUACUACUGAUUGGAUUUUAUUUUGGUCUGUGUUAAGUUUUAGUAUUAUUUUUUCUUGGAUAGUUCUGCAAUCCACUUGAAGAUGGCAAAACUUAACUUUUAACUGAUAGAAGUAAUUAUGAGUUACUACCAUGUAUUUGACUCUAGGCAUUGAGCGCAUUAGGUUUUCUUGGAUUUACUUUACAAUCCAAUUUUAUGUAAUCCUGCCUAGAUUGCUUUAAUUGAGUAUAAAUCUUGUAAAAUAAUUUGAGGCAUGACAUGCCAAAUAAAACCCCUAAGCCCAUGGACUUCACAAAACUAGUUAACAUUUAUAGAAAAUUUGAGGCGUGCCAUUUUCAUUAAAUAGCCCAUGACCCUCAUGUAAUUAAUUUUAACUCUUUAGAAAUCGAGGUGUGUCAUUAGUUGAAUUUUUCAUGGCCCUCGCAAACUUGAAAGUGCGUAGUUGCUUUAGGCGCGCUACUUAAAUUAACUUCCCUAAAUUCGGGUGUGCAUUUAUGUGACCCAAAUCCAAAUCUCAACAAAUAAAAUGUGUCAUGGACCGCGGGUGUAUUUAUGUAGCGUGGCUUACGAUGUGUUUUAAAUAACUUUGAAUUUUUUUCGAAAUAUUAAAAGCGGCUAAAUAAUAGCACCCUUUUGCUUUUGCUUUUGCUUUUGCUUGUAAAUUAGCAGCUCAUAGUUCUUAGCUUAUUAUUUGCUAUUAGUUGAUUGUGCAGUAGUAAGAAAUUUGGAGAUCAAUUGGUGUACCAUUAUCUUUUUUUUUUUGCCACAAUUCCCUAUUAUUCUUGUCUGAAGUUCGUGUAUCAAGUUUCAGUGGCUCAACUCUGUUUUGCUUGGUAAUGCUCGUUAUUGGUUUCUUGGCACACAUUUUGCAUGAAAAUUCGGGGGUGCAUUUCAUGUGGCCCAAUCAUAACAACUUCAAACAAUAAUAUAAUAAAUAUAUCGCGAAUCGGAGGUGCAUUUCAAGUAGCGUGAUUCGCGGUGUGUGCCAAAACGGCAAGUGUACGACAAUCGUAACUUGUUCAAGAAAUAAUUCCAUAAAUCCUGAAAACGGUAUAAAAUAAUUAAAAAGCGGUUAUAAAAGCUAAAAAAUGCAUAAUAAGUUUAAAACGUGUAAUAAGUCAGAUAAUUAGGCUAAUUUUAAUAGUUUAAGCGACCGUGCUAAAACCACGGAACUCGGAAAUGCCUAACACCUUCUCCCGGGUUAACAGAAUUCCUUACCCAGAUUUCUUUGUUCGCAGAUUGUAAUACAGAGUCAAUCCUUUCCUCGAUUCGGGAUUUGAACUGGUGACUUGGGACACCAUAAAAUUAUCCCAAAUGGCGAUUCUGAAUCUAAUAAAAUAAUCUCGUUUCGAUUGUCACUUAAAUUGGAAAAAACUCCUAUAUACCCCUUCCGGGGGUGUAGGAAAAAAGGAGGUGUGACAGCUCUAGCGACUCUGCUGGGGAAAAUGAUAGAAUCUCCGAUUCAGGGUUCAAGAAUUUGAGCUUAGAAUAACUGUUAUAUUUGGCUUUAUUUAUUAUAUGAUUUUAUUCACAUGUUUGGGCCUAAUAUGCUAAAUGUUGCUUUUUACCGCUUUGAUAUUGUUGAACUGUAUAUAAAAUUGCUAUGAAUCCCUCCUCUCUCUGAGUCUUCUAAAUCAUCUGGAAAAUGUGCACUUCGUGUGACUUCUUUUCUAUUAGAUUCAUAUCCUAAUUUUAGAACGAGUUUCGGACAAGUUGCAAAGCCGGUGAAGUUUCUGUAUUCCCGGUAUGCUGCCCCCCUUGGCUCGAGAUGUCCGCUCGGGUAAGCCAGGGCUAGAACAAUAAACCCAGGUUUUCAUACCUAGUAUAACAUAGCCUCAUGCCGGAUCCCUACAAGGAACACUUGUUUUCAUCAUGCUCAUUGGACGUUGGGGACUCAACACAGGGGUUGGGUCUGUCUAGGUUAGGUGUACCCAAAAUAACAGACCAUCUUAAUGCAUCUUAUGUGCUACAUGUUGCAUUUUUACGGGUAAAAGAGUCUUUUGGCGGACCAAUGAUAAUUGAGGGUGAAUGAAAAAAGGGGAAAAAAAGAGAGGGUGAAGUGUGUAAUGAAGCAAGUAGAGCCUAGUUAUAAUUUUCUUUCAUACUUUUUCAAGAAAAAGACCCAAAAAAAAAGAUAUAUGAAAAAUCCAUAAAGAUUUUGCAUUUUUCCAUCAUUUUCCAAAAAAAAAACAAAAAAAAAGGAAAAAGAAAAUCAAAAAAUAUUUUGCAUCCUUCAUCCUUUUCAAGGAAAAGACAAAAUAUAUUUUCUCUAAAUUAGUUGUUUUUCUUAUUCUCGCCCAUAUCCAAUCUGCCCGAACUACGCAUACCUGAUUCUCGUCUUUCGGGGCGUGAUACGUAGGCAACCCACAUAGAGUCCAGUCUUCCUAGUAAAUCUUAGGUUCUUGGCUUUGCGGGGUCUUAGCCAAAUUUGCACUUCUAGCCAUCUUUUGGCCAAAUAAGCUACUUUGCAAAAAUAGCCUAAAUCAUGUCUUGCGUGUUUCCAACAGGAAGGAUUAUUGUCUCACAUAGUGUUCUAGGUCUUUAACCUAUUUGGUUUUAAUUUUCUCAUAUAGGUGUGGAUUUACUUACCGGAGUUUGAGCAUGACAGAGUCCAGGACAUAUAGUCAGGAUCGCUCAUUCAGG
rnacentral:lncRNA from 1 species